GGAUCAAGAAAAUAUGCAGUCAAACUUAGUAGCCUCACUACGAGUAGCCAAUGUUAUCACAGGUCAAAGAACCACUCAUACUACUGCAGCAUCAAGAAAAUCACUGAUGAGUGAGUAGACAUCCAUGUGGUUUCUCAUGUUGGUCACACUUAAUACAAAUUAUUCUCUAACAACCACCCAUAUCCUCACCCCAAUGUCUCUACACUGUAGAUCUGAGACUCAUCUGCCCACA
rnacentral:lncRNA from 1 species